UCCGCGCGUUUUUGAUUUUCCAUAGGUUUUGUACAUAACAAACAUGGCUGCCAUUUGGCCAAUUUGAAGGUUGAUUUUGGAAGGUCAAUGUUUAAUUCAUGAGUAAUGACGUCAAAAUACGCAUAAUGCACUUGUAUGAUUGGAUAAAACGCUAAUGUUUUAUUCAUGUCCUCAUGCAUUAAACAUUUUUUUCCUUCCCACAAUUCCCUACGAUAUCUGUGCGAAGUGUCGUUCUUUUUUACUCUGCGAAAUUCAACAUUUGAAAUACAAUAGCAAGACUAAUUAUCUGUUUAUAGAAUUAUUAUCUGGAAUCAUGAUUUCUGAGUGAAAUUCAGUUGAGCAGAAAAAUAUGAGGGAACAUCUACAUCAAAGUAAUGGCAUUCCAUACAAAUAAAAAUCCAAUGGGAUCAAGUUCUUAGCAGUCCCAGCCCAGUCAGAAGUACAAAGUCAACUACCAUUUACACACCACCAAGAGUUACAAUCUGAUGAGGAACAGGAUAUUUGAACUGAAAACUUGUAAGGUUCCGCAGGCAGUUUGAGUAUCACCAGGGCAGAUUAUAAGAAAAAAUAUGGAGGCCAAGUUCAUAACAAGUAGCUACUUCAUCACAAUUACACAUUUUAAAAAUUGAAUGAAUUUGAAUAAACAUGUCAAUACAUAUUGAAUGUUGCUU